GAUGAACGCUGGCGGCGCGCCUAACACAUGCAAGUCGAACGGCACCCCUCUCCGGAGGGAAGCGAGUGGCGAACGGCUGAGUAACACGUGGAGAACCUGCCCCCUCCCCCGGGAUAGCCGCCCGAAAGGACGGGUAAUACCGGAUACCCCGGGGUGCCGCAUGGCACCCCGGCUAAAGCCCCGACGGGAGGGGAUGGCUCCGCGGCCCAUCAGGUAGACGGCGGGGUGACGGCCCACCGUGCCGACAACGGGUAGCCGGGUUGAGAGACCGACCGGCCAGAUUGGGACUGAGACACGGCCCAGACUCCUACGGGAGGCAGCAGUGGGGAAUCUUGCGCAAUGGGGGGAACCCUGACGCAGCGACGCCGCGUGCGGGACGGAGGCCUUCGGGUCGUAAACCGCUUUCAGCAGGGAAGAGUCAAG
rnacentral:rRNA from 1 species